rnacentral:rRNA from 1 species
GACGAACGCUGGCGGCGUGCUUAACACAUGCAAGUCGAACGGAAAGGCCCUGCUUGCAGGGUGCUCGAGUGGCGAACGGGUGAGUAACACGUGGGUGAUCUGCCCCUUACUUUGGGAUAAGCCUGGGAAACUGGGUCUAAUACUGGAUAGGACCAUGCUGUAGGUGGUGUGGUGGAAAGAUUAGUUUCGGUAAGGGAUGAGCUCGCGGCCUAUCAGCUUGUUGGUGGGGUAAUGGCCUACCAAGGCGUCGACGGGUAGCCGGCCUGAGAGGGUGGACGGCCACAUUGGGACUGAGAUACGGCCCAGACUCUUACGGGAGGCAGCAGUGGGGAAUAUUGCACAAUGGGCGCAAGCCUGAUGCAGCGACGCCGCGUGGGGGAUGACGGCCUUCGGGUUGUAAACUCCUUUCAGCCAUGACGAAGCCCUUGUGGUGACGGUAGUGGUAGAAGAAGCACCGGCUAACUACGUG